GGUCCGAGUUGUAAUUUGCAGAAGGUGCCUCGGGUGCGAUACCGGUCCAAGUUCCUUGGAACAGGGCGUCAUAGAGGGUGAGAAUCCCGUACGUUACCGGCCGUCAAACCCGUGCGAGGUCCUUUCGACGAGUCGAGUUGUUUGGGAAUGCAGCUCAAAAUGGGUGGUAAAUUUCAUCUAAAGCUAAAUACCGGCCAGAGACCGAUAGCGCACAAGUAGAGUGAUCGAAAGAUGAAAAGCACUUUGAAAAGAGAGUUAAAAAGUAUGUGAAAUUGUUGAAAGGGAAGCGCUUGCGACCAGACUUGUCCGCGGGUGCUCAGCCGUCCUUCGGGGCGGUGCACUCUCCCGCGGCCAGGCCAGCAUCGGUUCGGGCGGCCGGACAAAGGCUCCGGGAACGUGGCUCCCUCCGGGGAGUGUUAUAGCCCGGGGCGCAAUGCGGCCAGCCUGGACCGAGGACCGCGCUUC
rnacentral:sRNA from 1 species